UACGAAGGCCCCGAGCGUUAUCCGGAUUCAUUGGGCGUAAAGGGUGCGUAGGUGGUUUGGUACGUUUCUUGUUAAAUCUAACCGCUCAACGGUGAGACCGCAGGGAAUACGGCCAGACUAGAGGGUGCGAGAGGUCUGUGGAACUCACGGUGUAGGGGUGAAAUCCGUUGAUAUCGUGGGGAACACCAAAGGCGAAGGCAGCAGACUGGCGCAUUUCUGACACUGAGGCACGAAAGCGUGGGGAGCAAAAAGG
rnacentral:rRNA from 1 species